AUCAUCAUGCCCUCCUUGUAACCUUCAAACUUAAAGAAAUAAUAGCCUCAAGGACCAAUGGAACGGAACCGCAGUUCUGUCGGCUGGAUGUGUACUUAGCCAGGGUCUUUCUAUGUAGUUCAGACUGCCCUUGAACUCACUAUGUAGCCCAGGCUGGCCUCGAACUUGUGGUAAUCCUCCUGCCUCAGCCUCCCAAGUGCUGGGAUUACAGGGAUCGAACUCAGGACCUUGUGCUUGAGAGGCAGGCGGUGGAACCACUGAGAUAAAUCCCCAGCCCUAAAUAUCAACUUCUUAAGCAAUAAAAAUUUUUUAUAUAUCUGUGAUAAUCAAAUAAGAUUAUCCCUGACAGUAAUCCCUGGCAUCCAGUAGUCAUUAAAUCUUGACUGGUCCUGUGAUGGUUUAUGUCU
rnacentral:lncRNA from 1 species